rnacentral:lncRNA from 13 species
AUGGAAGAUGGAAGCCUUCCUCGUAUUGUGGUCAUUGCACUGUCUGUGCUGAUCUACAUUUCUGCUUUAGCAAUUAAUGCUAUGGCAGGCGCUGGAAAGGGACCAUUCCAUUCGAGUACAGGGAACAUUUCCAAGAAGUAUGAAACCGACAUAACUCCGGCCGGAUGGACCUUUUCUAUCUGGGGGCUCAUCUACACCUGGUUGUCUCUCAUGCUCAUCUAUGUCAUCUCCUUCCUCUACAGAAGGAGCUGGACCCUCUCUGUGCUGCCGUACGGUUUCUAUGUGUCCUGGAUAGUCAACAUGGCCUUCAACAUGAUCUGGCUUGUCCUAUGGGUUCAAGAGCAGAUGACUGCUGCGUUGAUUAUACUGGGGAUCAUUGCUGUCACCAACUACUCUAUGAUAUUUUUCUCCUGCUAUGGGCUGAGUGUUUACGGAGCCUGGCUCAGCCAGAACCAACCUAGUGAUCUUUGGUGCAUCCGGGUGCUGGUGCUGAAUGGCAUUGCCCUGUAUGCCACAUGGACAACCAUCGCCACUCUGAUCAACUUCACCCUGGUGUUGGACCUCUCUGGAGUGGCAAAUAGCACUGCAGCCACCGUGUCUCUCUGUAUCCUACUGGUGGAGGUGAUCGGAUGGUUUGGUAUUGAGAACUUCCUGCUGGAUCAGCAUGUGAGGUACAUCCUGACUAUUUACCCUGUGGUGAUCUUUGCUCUGGUUGGGAAUGUGUUCAAACACUAUGACCCUGCAGCACCAAGCGCAAACGCUAUCUUCAUGGGUGAGUAGGCCUCAUCUCUCAGACUAGAGAUCUAUUACCAAGUAAAACUUCAACCCUUGUUUCCUAAACCUGAAAACAUAUUGUAGAUCUGAAAGGAUUGGAUGUGUGUAAGCAAUAGCUCCACGAGUCAUGUGAUAGGCUAAAUGGCGUUCCCACCAUAUUGCUUAGACCCAACAGAUUCUUUCAGAUCUACAAGAAAUGUCUAGCUUCGUUUUGGACUGGGCUCAAUUCUCUUCAUGUGAAACACUUAAACGUUUUAGAACCUCCCUCGCUAUUCUCCGUAAAUCAUAUUAGAAACUAAUAUACAUGUUAAAGAUAAAUAGGAUCAUCUUCUAUCACUUCCAGUUUGUCUCUUGGUGGUUUCCUGUGUGCUCCUGGUGGUGCGAGUCGCCUUGGUGUUCAGGAGAAAUCGGAACCAGCCCCUGUACGCUGGCAUGAGCCUGGAGGCUCUGAUCUCGCCCAGCAGCCUGAACAAGAAGCAGAAUAAGAUAUUAAUGUAGAAGACUGGUACACACCACAAUACCAUCUUUUCACAAAGUGUCAAACCGUAAUAAUCUAUAACAUAACACAUUGCCUAUAUUAAACCAUACACAUUCAUUAUUCAGUUUGGACAAGAAACAGAUGAAGAUAUUCAUGUAGAAGACUGGUACACACCACAAUACCAUCUUUUCACAAAGUGUCAAACCGUAAUAAUCUAUAACAUAACACAUUGCCUAUAUUAAACCAUACACAUUCAUUAUUCAGUUUGGACAAGAAACAGAUGAAGAUAUUCAUGUAGAAGACUGGUACACACCACAAUACCAUCUUUUCACAAAGUGUCAAACCGUAAUAAUCUAUAACAUAACACAUUGCCUAUAUUAAACCAUACACAUUCAUUAUUCAGUUUGGACAAGACACGGAUGAAGAUAUUCAUGUAGAAGACUAGUCUUCUACAUAGUACGAUCUGUAAACGAUACGAAGUGUCAAAGCCUAUGCUUCCCAUAAAACAUAUAAUCCUGUAUUACGCACACUGUAUUAAAAAACCUGUUCAUCCAAUCAUAACAUUCCACUACACUGUAAUGCAUAACACUUUCUAUGUUUAUAAUACAUGUAAUAAGAGAUAUUUGUACACUAAUCAAUGCACUGAAUAAUCAUACAAUUCAAGUGUAAGUAACUUUUUUUUUUUUUCUACUUGAUUCUUACUCUUUUGUAUUGAUCUGAUACAUAAACAUAUUUUGCCUAUCCUGUAUUGACAAUGCUAUUUUCACUUGAUGAAACUAUUAGUCUAAACACUGAGUUUGAGUAGAAAGAUGGAAUGCUAAAAUAAAAUGGGAUGUUAAUGUUUUAUUAUAUGGUUGAUGUGGGGCUAGGACAUUUUUUUCCCCCUAUGAUUACAUACAGUUUAAGUCAGAAGUUUACAUACACCUUAGCCAAAUACAUUUAAACUUAUUUUUUCACAAUUUCUGAUAUUUAAUCCUAGUGAAAAUUCCUUGUUUUAGGUCAGUUAGGUUCACCACUUUAUUUUAAGAAUGUGAAAUGUCAGAAUAAUAGUAGUGAUUUAUUUCAGCUUUUAUUUCUUUCAUUACAUUCCCAGUGGGUCAGAAGUUUACAUACAUUCAAUUAGUAUUUGUUAGCAUUGCCUUUAAAUUGUUUAACUUGGGUCAAACGUGUCGGGUAGCCUUCCACAAGCUUCCCACAAUAAGUUGGGUGAAUUUUGGCCCAGUCCUCCUGACAGAGCUGGUGUAACUGAGUCAAGUUUGUAGGCCUCCUUGCUUGCACACAAUUUUUUUUCAGUUCUGCCCACAAAUGGUCUAUGGGAUUGAGGUCAGGGCUUUGUGAUGGCCACUCUAAUACCUUGACUUUGUUGUCCUUAAGCCAUUUUGCAACAA